rnacentral:rRNA from 1 species
AGAGUUUGAUCCUGGCUCAGGAUGAACGCUAGCUACAGGCUUAACACAUGCAAGCCGAGGGGCAGCAUGAACUUAGCUUGCUAAGUUUUGAUGGCGACCGGCGCACGGGUGAGUAACACGUAUCCAACCUGCCGAUGACUCGGGGAUAGCCUUUCGAAAGAAAGAUUAAUACCCGAUGGCAUAGUUCUUUCGCAUGGUGGAACUAUUAAAGAAUUUCGGUCAUCGAUGGGGAUGCGUUCCAUUAGGUUGUUGGCGGGGUAACGGCCCACCAAGCCUUCGAUGGAUAGGGGUUCUGAGAGGAAGGUCCCCCACAUUGGAACUGAGACACGGUCCAAACUCCUACGGGAGGCAGCA